UGUACUUCUUGAUAAAAGGUGACUGAGAAGAUAGGAAGGUGUCUCAUCACACACUCCAAUGCGAGAGGCUCCCUGAGACUCUUCUCUAAUUCCUGUCUCCCCAAGUCUCAGUUCUAAGCAAACCCUUUUGUUCCAGUCACCUCCAAGCCCUUGUUCCUCAGUUCCUCCUUCCUGUCUACCCGUCCUCCGAUCACUAUUUCUCUCCUUUUCCCUGACUUCAAAUUCUUUCUCUCCAGUCUCUAUCCCGAACAGACACACACAGACACCCAGUCACACAGACAGACAGACAGACACACACACACACACACACACACACACACACACACCCUUUCAGCCUCUUUUUCCACUCACACUAGCACUACAGGGAACAGAACACACAAGUGGGAUUUGCUUAAUAUCACAUUACAACUUAGACACACUAAAAAUGCGGUGUAUCAUGUCUUUCUAUAAGUGAUAUAAACUGCCAUAGAAGCUCUCUUUCCCACCUUGCAGAUGGCUGGGAAAGAGAAGAACAAACUUGCCAGAUGAAGACUCGUGGGCAGAGAAGAGAUUACUUACCUCCAAGGAGCAUGCCCGACCCCAGGGCUGGCACCUCAGAGCACAGGCUGGUCUUCCAAGUCCUCAAAGCUACCCCCGCUCAUCUUUCAAGUGCCCCUGAUGGGCUAAGCUGGGGUUCAUCUCAUCUGCUGCUACCAGGACCCUAGGAGGCCUCUACUUUCAAUUCCUGCUGCAGGACAGGAUGCAGAAUGCAAGGGUUGUGGUGGCCAUGGAGGUUUCUGCUCCAAUUUCAGAAGAUCUGGGGACCCAAACAAUGUAUCUUUGUGAGGACAGUGUAUGAAGAGUGAGGCCAAAUGUACAGUGGACACUCCAGGAAUUUGGAGGUCCCUUCUGAAGAUCCUGUAACUCUGCAAGGACAAGGAAAGAAACAAGAAAUUGUAUUUGUGAAAUGAGUUACCUGUCUAGGUGCUGAAACAGUCCAUGGCAAGCAGGGCAGGCAGAAGGCAGGAGGGCGCAAGCAGCAAGCAAGCCACAAGCAAAGACCCUCUGUCUUUCCAUUAUGUUCCACGCAGAACACACACACACACACACACACACACACACACACACACACAGUGGGGCACCCUUACUCCUACCCAGGACUGUGCCAAAUCAAUCAGGGGAUCAAUU